rnacentral:rRNA from 1 species
UGGGGAAUUUUCCGCAAUGGGCGAAAGCCUGACGGAGCAAUACCGCGUGAGGGAGGAAGGCUCUUGGGUUGUAAACCUCUUUUCUUGGGGAAGAACAAAAUGACGGUACCCAAGGAAUCAGCAUCGGCUAACUCCGUGCCAGCAGCCGCGGUAAUACGGAGGAUGCAAGCGUUAUCCGGAAUGAUUGGGCGUAAAGCGUCCGCAGGUGGCGAUUCAAGUCGAUUGUCAAAGGUCGUGGCUCAACCACGAACAGGCAGUGGAAACUGAAUAGCUAGAGUGUGGUAGGGGUAGAGGGAAUUCCCGGUGUAGCGGUGAAAUGCGUAGAGAUCGGGAAGAACACCAGUGGCGAAAGCGCUCUACUAAGCCAUAACUGACACUCAGGGACGAAAGCUAGGGGAGC